rnacentral:rRNA from 1 species
AGUCGAACGCUGAAGCACUCUGCUUGCAGAGUGUGGAUGAGUGGCGAACGGGUGAGUAACACGUGGAGAACCUGCCCAUAAGAGGGGGAUAACAUCCGGAAACGGGUGCUAAUACCGCAUAGGUAUCCGACACGCAUGUGUCGGCUAUGAAAGACGGCUUCGGCUGUCGCUUAUGGAUGGCUCCGCGGCGUAUUAGCUAGUUGGUGAGGUAAUGGCUCACCAAGGCAGUGAUACGUAGCCGACCUGAGAGGGUGAUCGGCCACACUGGGACUGAGACACGGCCCAGACUCCUACGGGAGGCAGCAGUAGGGAAUCUUCCACAAUGGGCGCAAGCCUGAUGGAGCAAUGCCGCGUGAAUGAAGAAGGUCUUCGGAUCGUAAAGUUCUGUUAUCGGAGAAGAACACGUCGAGUAGUAACUGGCUCGACCUUGACGGUAUCCGACCAGAAAGUCACGGCUAACUACGUGCCAGCAGCCGCGGUAAUACGUAGGUGACAAGCGUUGUCCGGAUUUAUUGGGCGUAAAGCGAGCGCAGGCGGUCUUUUAAGUCUGAUGUGAAAGCCCACGGCUCAACCGUGGAUGGUCAUUGGAAACUGGAGGACUUGAAUGCAGAAGAGGUAAGUGGAAUUCCAUGUGUAGCGGUGAAAUGCGUAGAUAUAUGGAGGAACACCAGUGGCGAAGGCGACUUACUGGUCUGUUAUUGACGCUGAGGCUCGAAAGCGUGGGGAGCGAACAGGAUUAGAUACCCUGGUAGUCCACGCCGUAAACGAUGAGUGCUAAGUGUUGGAGGGUUUCCGCCCUUCAGUGCUGGAGCUAACGCAUUAAGCACUCC